UACGAAGGGGGCUAGCGUUGCUCGGAAUCACUGGGCAUAAAGGGCGCGUAGGCGGCUUCCUAAGUCAGGGGUGAAAUCCGGCAGCUCAACUGUCGCAGUGCCUUUGAUACUGGGAAGCUCGAGGGAUGUAGGGGUCUGUGGAACUUCCGGUGGAGCGGUGAAAUGCGUUGAUAUCGGAAGGAACGCCGGUGGCGAAAGCGACGGACUGGACAUCUUCUGACGCUGAGGCGCGAAAGCCAGGGGAGCAAACGGG
rnacentral:rRNA from 1 species